rnacentral:lncRNA from 1 species
CUGGGCCGCACGCAUGCCAUGUGAGCCCGCUACCGCUUGAGCCAUAUCCCCAGCCCCUAUUAUUUCUUUCAUUUCAAGGAUUUCUGUUUGUUUGUUUGUUUGUUUUAGAACCUCUGUCUCCCUGUUGAGGUGAUCUUUUACUUCUUUUAUUUGUUUAUGUAGCUCAUUGUCGAAGUGAUCUUUUACUGCUUGUCUUUGCUCUGUUAUACCUUCUUGGCGUUUACAGGACAUUUUAACCAUGUAUAUCCUGAAAUCUUUCUGUGUCCAUUUUUCUGCUGUAGCUGCCAAUGAUUCUAAUGAUGUGUUCUCUUGAUUUGUUUGGGCACUUUCUUCCCUUGUCUUUUCAUGUUACUUGUGUGUCUUCCUUUCCAGCUCUGUGGUUCUGAGGUGUUAUGGUUUUUACCCUAUUGAUUUGUAGUGCUCUUGUAGGUUUGCAAGAUCCCUCCUUUGUGGGGAAGGACAAUGUUUACAGAUCCCAAUAUCAACAAUACAUCACGUAUAAACUAUUUGUUGUUAUGAAGACAUUUACAGUUUAGUCUCAAUGUCCAGAAAUGUUGGAUUCAAUUAUUAUUUAAGCUAUAAUCAGUAGUUUUGUAAAAAGGUUUACAGUCUGGUGGUGGACAAUGAACUGGGGAUCUGGCAGGAUGAUAUGUGGCUCAGAGGGAGUUCCCAUCUGCCAGCCAUCCACAUCAAAUAUGGGGAGAAAGGUGAUCCAAGAUGGAGCCGGUCUGCUUCCAUUGAUGUGGGGGGAGCUGGGUGAUGGCCUUGUGCUGUGGGUAGGUAGCAGCUGAGUUGCCUGUGUGGGAAUGGGGUGCAGCCUGGAGUUCUGCAGAGGGGCUGAGAAGUGUUUCUGCUGAGCCACUCAAGAGCUGCUUGGGGCUAGAGCUGUGGGCUUUGGGCCUGGAGUCCAGAGUCUUACUCGAACCCUGAGGCUCUGAAUUCUGCAGUGGGCUUACAGCUUGGUGAUUUCUGUGAAAAUCCACUCUAGAGUGUAUUUUCAUGCUCUCUGAAAUCCUGUAUUCUGAUGAGGUGAGACCUAGGCCACGGAACAACACACGAUGCUGCCUGUCUCUGGCCCACCAUCUUGAAUGUCCCCCCUUCUGGUCUUGACAUGAUAUGGUACCCUUUCAACUGUCAAGGUCUCUUUAAACAGCAGGGAAGAACUCAAACUGGAGAAAAGCCUUGUAUGUAGAAAUGUGAUAAGACAUUCCUUGUUUCAGAUCUAGUUAGACUUAUUCAGAUUUGAGGGAAUAUUUUGUAUUAUUUAUUAUUAUUAUUAUUUUCAACCCAGAGGUGCUGAACCACUGACACUCAUCCCAGUCUUUUUUAAUUUUUUUUUUUCCAAUUUUGAGACAUGGUCUCACUUGGUUGCUUAGGUCCUAAGUGGCUGAGGCUGGCUUUGAACUUGUGAUCCUGCUGCCUCAGCCUGAUGUAGUCUUCACUGCCUUCAGCAACCAUGCUCUUUUGAGAAAACAAGUGUGGGAGUGUGAAAAGUGUAUGUGCCUUCAUUCUGGCAAUUCACAGGUGAUAAAAAUGCACCCUAGAGUGGAUGUAAGGAUGGCAUCAGUGUGAAGAUGUGAAAGCAAGGUUAAAUCUCUGUUAUUGUUAGAUUCAUCUCUUUUGUAUUUUAAGUUCUUUGCAUCUUUUGAUAU